GUGCCAGCCGCCGCGGUAAGACGAACCGUGCGAACGUUGUUCGGAAUCACUGGGCUUAAAGGGCGCGUAGGUGGUUGAUCAAGUCUGGGGUGAAAUCUUUCGGCUUAACCGGAAAAGUGCCUUGGAUACUGAUCAGCUGGAGGGAGGUAGGGGCAGUUGGAACUUCCAGUGGAGCGGUGAAAUGCGUUGAUAUUGGAAGGAACGCCGGUGGCGAAAGCGAGCUGCUGGACCUCUUCUGACACUGAGGCGCGAAAGCUAGGGGAGCAAACGGGAUUAGAUACCCCGGUAGUCCUAGCCCUAAACGUUGGGUACUAGGUAGUGGACUUAACAUGGGUUCACUGCCGAAGCAAAAGUGUUAAGUACCCCGCCUGGGGAGUAUGGUCGCAAGGCUGAA
rnacentral:rRNA from 1 species